rnacentral:rRNA from 1 species
GUAGGUGGCAAGCGUUGUCCGGAAUUAUUGGGCGUAAAGCGCGCGCAGGUGGUUCUUUAAGUCUGAUGUGAAAGCCCCCGGCUCAACCGGGGAGGGUCAUUGGAAACUGGGGAACUUGAGUGCAGGAGAGGAAAGUGGAAUUCCACGUGUAGCGGUGAAAUGCGUAGAUAUGUGGAGGAACACCAGUGGCGAAGGCGACUUUCUGGCCUGUAACUGACACUGAGGCGCGAAAGCGUGGGGAGCAAACAGGGAUUAGAUACCCUGGUAGUCCACGCCGUAAACGAUGAGUGCUAAGUGUUGGGGGGGUUUCCCGCCCCUCAGUGCUGCAGCUAACGCAUUAAGCACUCCGCCUGGGGAGCACGGUCGCAAGACUG